GAGGUUGGUGAAAUGGUCGCCCUGCCAUUGGUGGGGAGGAAAGUCCGAACUCCGCAGGACAAGGCGCCUCUUAAGAGGAGGGUCUCACCAAAAGGUGGGAACGGCAAGUGCAGCAGAAAGUAAACAUCCCAAUCUAGUAUUGGGAAAUAGAUGAAAUGGUGGUGUAAGAGACCACCAGUAUUUAUGGAAACAUGAAUAGCUGGGUAAACCCCGCCUGGAGCAAGAUCAAGCAAUCUAGUGUAGUUCGCACGUUACGGAUGGGUAGAUCGCAAGAUCCCGAUCGCGAGGUCGAGACCAGAUGAAUGACCAUUAUCCGCCCUCCGGCGGAAACAGAAUUCGGCUUAUGAUCCAACCUCAUAC
rnacentral:RNase_P_RNA from 1 species